rnacentral:rRNA from 1 species
UACGGAGGGUGCAAGCGUUAUCCGGAUUAAAUGGGGAUAAAGGGUGCGUAGGCGGGUAGGUAAGUUAGUGGUGAAAUCUCAGAGCUUAACUCUGAAACUGCCAUUGAUACUAUCUAUCUUGAAUGUUCUGGAGGUGAGCGGAAUAUGUCAUGUAGCGGUGAAAUGCUUAGAUAUGACAUAGAACACCAAUUGCGUAGGCAGCUCACUACGGAAAUAUUGACGCUGAGGCACGAAAGCGUGAGGAUCAAACAGG